UACCGGGGUGGACUGUUGUGGGGCACUCCAAAUGCCUUCUUCCCCACCCUCCGUCUCGGGAGGUGUGAAUGGGAGAAGAAGAAGGUGCAAAACUGCUUCCCCCUGCCUUGCAGACUUGAAGGGAGAACAGCAAAAGGUGCCCUUUUCCGCAUGGGUACUGACUCGUGGGAAAGCCCACGCUGGGAUCGGCUGGCGAUUGGCUGGAUUCUGCAGGCCCAUUGUACAUAUGGCAGCAGACACAAAGCCUAGGAAGCUUAUAAACAGAGUGAGGAAAAAAGCACGCGGUUCCUGCGCUCGCACCGUUCUGUGCAGGCAGCUGUGUCUACAGGCACUUUGGACUUCGGCGGGUUUCAUUCGCGUCUGACUUAAUGCCGCGUGGAUCCACAAUGGGAUAUUGCUUGCAGUUUCAGAGGCUGCCGCAGAGAAAUUCAGCAGGGAUCACUGCUAAAGUCCUGCUUCACCUCUCCAGUUAGCUCCCAACUACAUCAGCAGCUCAGAGCAGGACUGAGAAGAAAACCCUCAACCCAUGUGCUGCAGGACAGAUGGAGGGGCAAAGAAACCAGUGGUCAUACUCCUGGGGGCUAAGAGGGGGAGCAACUCCGACCUGCGUCUGUAGUAUUAUUGUUGUUGUUAUUUUUGCUAUUAAUAAAAUACGAUCAUUUCUGUUA